rnacentral:rRNA from 1 species
CGGGUGAGUAACACGUGGAUAACCUACCUAUAAGACUGGGAUAACUACGGGAAACCGGAGCUAAUACCGGAUAAUAUAUUGAACCGCAUGGUUCAAUAGUGAAAGACGGUUUUGCUGUCACUUAUAGAUGGAUCCGCGCCGCAUUAGCUAGUUGGUAAGGUAACAGCUUACCAAGGCAACGAUGCGUAGCCGACCUGAGAGGGUGAUCGGCCACACUGGAACUGAGACACGGUCCAG